GUGGAUUAGAUACCCUGGUAGUCCACACUGUAAACGAUGAUUACUAGGUGUGGGGAGAUUGACCCUCUCCGUGCCGCAGUUAACACAAUAAGUAAUCCACCUGAGUAGUACGGCCGCAAGGUUGAAACUCAAAGGAAUUGACGGGGGCCCGCACAAGCAGUGGAGUAUGUGGUUUAAUUCGACGCUACGCGAAGAACCUUACCAGGUCUUGACAUCCGACUAACGAAGCAGAGAUGCAUUAGGUGCCCUUCGGGGAAAGUCGAGACAGGUGGUGCCCGGCCGUCGCCAGCU
rnacentral:rRNA from 1 species